CCUACGGGAGGCAGCAGUGGGGAAUAUUGGGCAAUGUGCGCAAGCCUGACCCAGCAACGCCGCGUGAAGGAAGAAGGCUUUCGGGUUGUAAACUUCUUUUCUCAGGGACGAAGCAAGUGACGGUACCUGAGGACUAAGCCACGGCUAACUACGUGCCAGCAGCCGCGGUAAUACGUAGGUGGCAAGCGUUAUCCGGAUUUACUGGGUGUAAAGGGCGUGUAGGCGGGAAAGCAAGUCAGAUGUGAAAACCAUGGGCUCAACCUGUGGCCUGCAUUUGAAACUGUUUUUCUUGAGUACUGGAGAGGCAGACGGAAUUCCUAGUGUAGCGGUGAAAUGCGUAGAGAUUAGGAGGAACACCAGUGGCGAAGGCGGUCUGCUGGACAGCAACUGACGCUGAGGCGCGAAAGCGUGGGGAGCAAACAGGAUUAGAUACCCGAGUAGUC
rnacentral:rRNA from 1 species